UAUUCGAUACGCCUCUAAUCUUCAGGAUCCCUGUCUGAACACAGAAAUUGAGUGUUCGCAAGGUUUCCUCAAGAUCAGGGCUUCGAGUC
rnacentral:pre_miRNA from 1 species